CGGACGGGUGAGUAACGCGUGAGGAACCUGCCUCAAAGAGGGGGACAACAGUUGGAAACGACUGCUAAUACCGCAUAAGCCCACGGCUCGGCAUCGAGCAGAGGGAAAAGGAGCGAUCCGCUUUGAGAUGGCCUCGCGUCCGAUUAGCUAGUUGGUGAGGUAACGGCCCACCAAGGCGACGAUCGGUAGCCGGACUGAGAGGUUGAACGGCCACAUUGGGACUGAGACACGGCCCAG
rnacentral:rRNA from 1 species